AGAUAGUCUUCUAGAAUAAACAUUAAGUUCAGAGAGGAAUUUGUCCGACAAACUGCAGUGGCAUCCCCACAUAAGAGGCCUUUUAUUUUUGAUAUAUUUUUCAGAUAUUCAGGGGCCGACCAAAGAAAACCUCCCUAAAGAGAAACAACCGGCCAGCAACCCAGAGUCCUCUAUCCUGGAACGCAAAGCUCCUCCCUGCACUGGGCCACGUAGUGGCUCUGACUCCAGUGUCACAGGAGAAGUGGGUCCUUCCAACUGCUUAAGGAAGUGUCUACUGUGGUCCAAAGAAUGGGGGCACCUGGCUGUCUCGUCAGUGGAGUGUGCAACUCUUGUUCUCAGGGUUGUGAGUUUGAGCCCCAUGUUGGGUGUAGAGAUUACAUAAAAAUAAAAUCUUAAAAAAAGGAAUGUAUUCAUUAUGAUACAGGUUUGGACACAUAUAGCAGAGACUCAAAUAACAGUAGCUUAAAUAAGAUAGAAGCUUGUCUCUCCAUGUAAAAGACUCUUCACUGAUAUGACACCUACUCGUCUUUCAGGUCUCACUGGAAAUGUCCCCUCCUCUGAGAAGCCUUCCCUGAUGUUACAUAGACAAGCUAAGGUAUUCUUGCCUUCUGUUCUCUGAGUACCUUCUAACUUCUCUAUCAAAACAAUGAUCAGGGACGCCUGGGUGGCUCAGUCGUUAAGCGUCUGCCUUCGGCUCAGCUUAUGAUCCCAGGGUCCUGGGAUCGAACCCCGCACUGGGCUCCUUGCUCAGCAGGAGGCCUGCUUCUCCCUCUCCCACUCGCCCUGCUUGUGUUCCCUCUCUCGCUGUCUCUGUCAGACUAAAAAAAAAAACAAAAACAAAAAAAAAAACACUUAAAAAAAAAAGCAGUGAUCAUACUCUGUGUUAUGGAUUGCUUUAUUUUCCCCACAUUAGAACUAGCAACACAACGGUAGGGACUGUGUUAAUCUUGCUCAUCAGCAUUAUCUCCAGAGAGCCACCCCCCCACCCGCACAGCACAGGUACUUAUUUGAUGUACUGAAUGUACCUCUGCUGAAUGUUCUUGAGGGUGGCAGGAAUUGAAUACUUCUGGCUUAUCAUACAUAGGACUGUUGCUCAGAAAAUUCCAAAAUAGUAAAUAGUCUUUAUUUUAUUUGAGAGAGCACGCACGUCGGGGGCGGGAGGGAAGGGACAAGCGGACUCCACGCUAAGCAUGGAACCCAUCCCACGACCCUGAGAUCAUGACCUGAGCCAAAACCAAGAGUCGGGCCCUUAACCGACUGAGACACCCAGGCGCCCCCAGUAAAUAGUAUUUUAAAAAUGGGGAAGUAACACCCAUUUAUGCCCCUAGCACAGCUGCAGAUUUGGAAGAGAGCAAAAAUGAAUAUUUCCAUUUGAAAGUCCUUAGCCUAUAGAGCAGGGGCUAGCAAACUUUCCGUGAAGUGACAGUGAAUUAUUUCACGUUUGGCGGGUCAUAUGAUCUCCAUUGCAAGGAGUCCACUGCGCCGUGAAACUGGAAAGACAGCAACAACCAACAUGUAAACCAACGGUGUGGCUGGGUUCCAAUAAAACCUGAUCUAUGAAUACUGAAAUUUCACAUCAUUUUCAAAUGUCAUGAAAUAAUUCUUUUGCUUGUUUCCAACCAGUUAAAAAUGUGAAAACCUUAGUUCAUGAGCCUUGCAAGAAUGGCAGCAGCUAGACUUGGCCCCUGGGCGGUGGUGUGCCAGCCCCAUCAGAGAGCACAUUUUUGACAGAGAAGAAUCUGGCCUUGGUUCGCUUCUUUAGCCCCUAAGUGCAAUUCACUUUCCUAAGCACCUACUAUGGGCCAGCGGCUGCAGAGCAGUGAAGAUGGUAAAGACUAGCUCGGUGCCGCUAAGUCCACAGGACAUGGACCCAAAUCCACAAACUGUGGUUGCAGCAUCUGGUUGAAGGGGGGAGGUUACUUCAUGACAAGGUGACAUCUGAGGGGUAAGUCAUGGGCCGUGUGCCCCCAGGAGCCAGCAGCAGUCUGGCCGUGGCUCUGGAUGAAUCCCACAGCGAAUGCUGGGCAGCAAGGCUGGGAGGGCAUGUGUCAGCUGUACGAGGGACCCUCAGGGACCAGCAUAAAGCUUGGUCUGGUGGGCAACGGAGAACCAAAGGGGAUGAUUAAACUGAGGUAAUUAAACUGGUACCAACAAUGCAUUCGUUUUUUAAUGUUCUAACUUUCAAACUAUUAAAAAGUGGUUUCUGAAACUAUUUGAUUCCUUUUUCUGUUACUAAUUUACCAAAUAUUUCAACUGACAAAUUCUCCUGGGAAAAAUACCCAGAGUUCAAGGGCACCUGGGAGGGGGAAAUGCCAUCCGUGUUUUCCCAGGGGCCAGAGCUUAUAAAAGGAGCCAUUGUAUGGAAAAAGAAAACAAAGCAAGAAUAAAACAGGAAUUUCAAAUAUUCAUAAGAUUUUGAGGAAACUGAACUAUCAAUCACACAAUGCCCUCCCUAGCUCCACAUUAAUAAGAAACUCCUAUUUUGUCCCUAAGGAGAAAAUCACUCUAUAUACUGCCCCUUUCCUUUUGUCUCUGAAAUGGGAGCUUUGUUGGAAAUCAUCAAUAGGAAAAUAAUAAAUCAUUCUUUCUUAGCACCAUAAAAUAUAGGAGGCAGGAAAAAUCAACUCAAGUUACAAGGAUGCAAACUGAAUUCUCCUUCAAUUGGCAUAAAAUGUCACCUUGCUCAUCCAACCAAAAAUUCAGGACAAGUCUCUUGGAGCGCCUCCUAUUAAAAGAUACCAUCUUGGCACAUCGGAUGCUCAGGAAAUGGAUGUGACAUCAAUCUGCAUGCAGGGACCAUCUCCUUCACGCUGAUGCACAGUCUAAUUGGAGGAUGAGGAGUCCGACUGCUGGCAUGCCGAUGAGUGGUCUUCCGCAGAGACGAGCAGAGCACUGCAGCUCUGCCUUCCACUCAGGAACUCACCUGGCUGCUCCUUUCUGCCAGCUUUACCCAUCCUCUUUUCCCUUGCCCCGGUCACAGGAUUCCAAGCUUUGGAAUGUGGACAAGAUACCUGGAAGUCAAGCAGCCAUUUUGUGAUCAUGAGAUGAAAACUGAGGAUGGCUGAACAGGAAGAGGGAAGGAACCAGCUGUACCAGCCAUGGAUUUCUUUGAUAUCCUCUCCUCUCCUACAGAGAACCUGCCAUGAAAGAUAAUAUUCACUGUAUUUGGAUCUUUUCUUAAAUGAAAAAGGCCUUGAAAAAUGUAUUUGCAUCUCAAGAGCUGAAACUAAAUAUUUUCCUGAAUGGAUGAGAAGAUCUGGGCCAUUGGCAGCGGAGGCAAGGAGGCGAUAGCUCCGCCCACUGCCCACUGCCCACUGAGGACCAGGGACAGAGCCUCCCCUUGGCUCCCAAGCCAAGCCCAGCGGGUCCCAGGAGCUGGAGAGGCAGGAGCUCCAGAACCUGAGACCUGAGACACUCUCACCUCAGCUCUCCUACACCCACCCAGGAGGGUUGCCCAUUGUCCCCAGUCUGCCACAACUACUCUGGACACACCACUUAAAGCUUUCAAAAACCAUCUCUGAAACUUCUGAAUUGUUCAUUUUAAGACAGUUUAUUUUGUUGUGUGAAUUUUACCUCAAACAUUUUUUUUCUUUAAAAAAAAAAAAGAUAUUAGAUGGAGUUUGUGAAAGACAGGCGAAAAAUUAGUCAAGAAGAGUUGCCUGUUUAAAUGCUUCCCCUCCCCACCCCCGCACUUCCCUAGCACAGGUCAUUCUCUCCCCCAAACCUGGCUUGCUCCCUCACUACACCACUGCUUCCCAUGAUAGUCGUGUCACUAUCCCAGUGUCUCCAGUAAUUACAUCUGUCAUUUCUAGUCAGUCAAACGUAGAUAGCAUCUUUUCACUGCCACCCCCUACUUUGUAAGAUGAGGCUAUCAGAGCCCCCGCUCUCCUGCCACUCACUUUCCUUCUCUGAACUCUCCGCUCUGCCAUCUCUACUGUUAUCUUUAUAUCACUGAGAUUGAUAAAAGGUUAGUCUCUUCUGCAAUUAUAAUUACAUCUUCUGUGCUUUCUCUUCAAAGUUAAAAAAUCAAGUUCCAACUAUCUAUAUGUUGUUCACUGCACUCUUUAAUAACUGCUUUCCAAGAAAAUUUCCCAGAACUGAAAUACAUGAGUUUCCAGAUGUGAAGGGCUUACUAAGUGCCUAAAAGAUUACAUAAAAACAACCCCGGCCUAGGGCGCCUGGGAGCCUCCGACUCUUUGUUUCGGCUCAGGUCGUGAUCUCAGGGUUGAGCCCAGAGUCUGGUACUGGCUCAGUGGGGAGUCUGCUUGAGAUGCUCUCUCUCUCCCUCUGCCCAGCCCCCUUCGCACACACAUGCUCUCUCUCAAAUAAAUAAAUAAAUCUUUAAAAUAAGUAUAUAAAUAAGUAAAUAAGUAAAUAAAUAAAUAAGUGAAGACCAAAGCGAGUAAUAGUGACGUUUUAGAGCACUGUAGAAAAAGAGUAAAUCCUACAUGUUUCCAAAAGGAGUGGGAGUGGGGGUAGGAAUGUCCCAAAUAAAAUCAGGAAUCAGAAUGGCUUCAGAUUUUUUCUCAGUAACUCUGGGAACUAGAGGAUAAAGGAGGAAUGCUUUCAGGUUUCUGAAGGACAAUUAUUUUCAUCUUAGAAUUUUAUACUCAGAUAAACAAUCAAACAGUGUUAGGGUAGAAUAAAGACAUUUUCAGAUAUGCAAGGACUCCAAAUUUACCUUCCACAUACCCUUUUUAGGAAGUUACUGGAGAGAUAUUAUCCACAAAUAGAGGAAGCGAAUUAAGAACGAGGAAGACACAGACCUAUAAAAUGGGGUCCAUCCAGGAAAUCACAGAACAAAGUCCCAGGGUGACAGUAGAGCAGUGUUCCCAGGAAGUUGAAAAGGGUGAGGUAAAAGGAGAUUCCAACAACUUGACACUGUCCUUGGAACAACUUAAGUAAGUGGUCAAG